AGAGUUUGAUCAUGGCUCAGAUUGAACGCUGGCGGCAGGCCUAACACAUGUAAGUCGAACGGUAACAGGAAACAGCUUGCUGUUUCGCUGACGAGUGGCGGACGGGUGAGUAAUGUCUGGGAAACUGCCUGAUGGAGGGGGAUAACUACUGGAAACGGUAGCUAAUACCGCAUAACGUCGCAAGACCAAAGAGGGGGACCUUCGGGCCUCUUGCCAUCAGAUGUGCCCAGAUGGGAUUAGCUAGUAGGUGGGGUAACGGCUCACCUAGGCGACGAUCCCUAGCUGGUCUGAGAGGAUGACCAGCCACACUGGAACUGAGACACGGUCCAGACUCCUACGGGAGGCAGCAGUGGGGAAUAUUGCACAAUGGGCGCAAGCCUGAUGCAGCCAUGCCGCGUGUAUGAAGAAGGCCUUCGGGUUGUAAAGUACUUUCAGCGGGGAGGAAGGGAGUAAAGUUAAUACCUUUGCUCAUUGACGUUACCCGCAGAAGAAGCACCGGCUAACUCCGUGCCAGCAGCCGCGGUAAUACGGAGGGUGCAAGCGUUAAUCGGAAUUACUGGGCGUAAAGCGCACGCAGGCGGUUUGUUAAGUCAGAUGUGAAAUCCCCGGGCUCAACCUGGGAACUGCAUCUGAUACUGGCAAGCUUGAGUCUCGUAGAGGGGGGUAGAAUUCCAGGUGUAGCGGUGAAAUGCGUAGAGAUCUGGAGGAAUACCGGUGGCGAAGGCGGCCCCCUGGACGAAGACUGACGCUCAGGUGCGAAAGCGUGGGGAGCAAACAGGAUUAGAUACCCUGGUAGUCCACGCCGUAAACGAUGUCGACUUGGAGGUUGUGCCCUUGAGGCGUGGCUUCCGGAGCUAACGCGUUAAGUCGACCGCCUGGGGAGUACGGCCGCAAGGUUAAAACUCAAAUGAAUUGACGGGGGCCCGCACAAGCGGUGGAGCAUGUGGUUUAAUUCGAUGCAACGCGAAGAACCUUACCUGGUCUUGACAUCCACGGAAGUUUUCAGAGAUGAGAAUGUGCCUUCGGGAACCGUGAGACAGGUGCUGCAUGGCUGUCGUCAGCUCGUGUUGUGAAAUGUUGGGUUAAGUCCCGCAACGAGCGCAACCCUUAUCCUUUGUUGCCAGCGGUCCGGCCGGGAACUCAAAGGAGACUGCCAGUGAUAAACUGGAGGAAGGGGGGGAUGACGUCAAGUCAUCAUGGCCCUUACGACCAGGGCUACACACGUGC
rnacentral:rRNA from 1 species